GACGAACGCUGGCGGCGUGCUUAACACAUGCCAGUCGAACGGAAAGGCCCUGCUUUUGUGGGGUGCUCGAGUGGCGAACGGGUGAGUAACACGUGAGUAACCUGCCCUUGACUUUGGGAUAACUUCAGGAAACUGGGGCUAAUACCGGAUAGGAGCUCCUGCUGCAUGGUGGGGGUUGGAAAGUUUCUGCGGUUGGGGAUGGACGCGCGGCUUAUCAGCUUGUUGGUGGGGUAGUGGCUUACCAAGGCUUUGACGGGUAGGCGGCCUGAGAGGGUGACCGGCCACAUUGGGACUGCGAUACGGCGCAGACUCCUACAGGAGGCAGCAGUGGGGAAUAUUGCACAAUGGGCGGAAGCCUGAUGCAGCAACGCCGCGGGCGUGAUGACGGCCUUCGGGUUGUAAACCGCUUUCGCUCGUGACGAAGCGUGAGUGACGGUAAUGGGUAAAGAAGCACCGGCUAACUACGUG
rnacentral:rRNA from 1 species